rnacentral:rRNA from 1 species
GACGAACGCUGGCGGCGUGCUUAACACAUGCAAGUCGAGCGAUGAAGCUCCUUCGGGAGUGGAUUAGCGGCGGACGGGUGAGUAACACGUGGGUAACCUGCCUCAUAGAGGGGAAUAGCCUUCCGAAAGGAAGAUUAAUACCGCAUAAGAUUGUAGUUCCGCAUGGAACAGCAAUUAAAGGAGCAAUCCGCUAUGAGAUGGACUCGCGUCGCAUUAGCUAGUUGGUGAGGUAACGGCUCACCAAGGCGACGAUGCGUAGCCGACCUGAGAGGGUGAUCGGCCACAUUGGGACUGAGACACGGCCCAGACUCCUACGGGAGGCAGCAGUGGGGAAUAUUGCACAAUGGGGGAAACCCUGAUGCAGCAACGCCGCGUGAGUGAUGACGGUCUUCGGAUUGUAAAACUCUGUCUUUGGGGACGAUAAUGACGGUACCCAAGGAGGAAGCCACGGCUAACUACGUGCCAGCAGCCGCAGUAAAAC